CGGACCGGCGCACGGGUGAGUAACACGUAUGGAACCUGCCCGCAGCAGGGGGAUAAGCGGAAGAAAUUCCGUCUAAUACCGCGUAACAACGUUGGGAGGCAUCUCCCGAUGUUUAAAGAUUUAUCGGCUGCGGGAUGGCCAUGCGGCGCAUUAGCUAGUCGGCGGGGUAACGGCCCACCGAGGCGACGAUGCGUAGGGGUUCUGAGAGGAAGGUCCCCCACACUGGUACUGAGACACGGACCAGACUCCUACGGAAGGCAGCAG
rnacentral:rRNA from 1 species